GUGGUGGUGGUGGUGAGGGACGCAGUGGUGGUGAUGCUGAGGUUGUGGUGAUGGUAGUGAUGGUGAUAAUGGUGUUGACAGAGGUGGGGAGGGUGGAUGGUGGUGAAAAAGAAGUAUAGCACUGGUGGUGAAGGUGGAAAUGGAGGUGGUGUUGAAGGGCAGGGGCAGGCAGGGUCGCGGUGGUGGUGGUGGUGGUGCAAAGGAUGGUGGUGUUGAAGGGCAGGCAGGGGCAGGGUCGCGGUGGUGGUGGUGGUGGUGGAGGUGGUGGUGGUGAUGAUGGCGGUGGUGAACUUGACAAGAAAAAACAAAUAAACAAACAAAAAAACAUUUCUACUGUACGAACGUAAACGCUCCGCUAUACACUCACCUACGAAAAGGGAACCACACCAACGAACGAACGAACGAACGAACGCGAGAACGGCCGAACGAAACUCCAAAGUGUGUGUGUUCGUGAAUUUGUGCAGACGCUUGCUUUGGGGGGUGGGGGGGAGGUGCUGGGGGGUGCUGGGGGGGGUGAGGGAGGGGGUGCUCUGAGGGGGUGUGGGGGUGCAGGGGGGCGUGUGGAGUACCAAAGGGGGGGAGGUGCGUGAGCGGGUUAAGUGAGGGGGGUUGAGGGGGGGUGGGGGGCUAUUUACAUAAUAUAUGUGGGGGGCGUACAGUUCUCUCUCUCUCUCUCUCUCUCUCUCUCUCUCUCUCUCUCUCUCUCUCUCUCUC